AGGUUCGUGAUCACUAGUACGGCGAGUGAAGAGGGAAAAGCUCAAAGUUGGAACCUGGCUGUCCUAGAUAGUCCGGAUUGUAAACUAAAGAGCGUGAAUCCAGGCAAGCCGGUUGAUCAAGUCCUUUGGAAUGAGGCGCCACUGAGGGUGAGAGCCCCGUAAGUCGACUGAGCAUUUGUCUUUUGUGUUUCGCGUUCAAAGAGUCAGGUUGUUUGGGAAUGCAGCCUAAAGCUGGUGGUAAAUCCCACCUAAAGCUAAAUACAGGCGAGAGACCGAUAGCGAACAAGUACCGUGAGGGAAAGAUGAAAAGUACUUUGAAAAGAGAGUUAAACAGUAUGUGAAAUUGCCAAGAGGGAAGCAUUUGGAGUUAGACUGACUUGGAGUUAAUCAGCUUGGUCUUUGGACUGGGUGUACUUGACUUCUAUGUCUGCCAACAGCAGUUAGUCCUGAUGGAAAAAACUGAAGGGAAGGUAGUCCUUCGGGAUGUUUAUAGACCUUUGGAAAAUACAUUGGGGAUUGACUGAGGAAUGCAGUAGAUGCUAUUAAGGCUUCGUCUAGUGGUGCUAGGCAAAGGUACCUGGUAUUUUCAGCUUGCUGAUGUGCUGGGUUACUUGAGUCUAGUUGCUUAUUAGAACUGUAAUCUACUUUGGUUGUUGGCUUAAUGACUCUAAAUGGCCCGUCUUGAAAAACGAGAACCAAAA
rnacentral:rRNA from 1 species